GACGAACGCUGGCGGCGUGCCUAACACAUGCAAGUCGAGCGGUAAGGCCCUUUCGGGGGUACACGAGCGGCGAACGGGUGAGUAACACAUGAGCAACCUGCCCUUCUCUUUGGAAUAAGCGUUGGAAACGACGUCUAAGGCCGAAUAUGACCCCCUGUCGCAUGGUGGGGGGUGGAAAGCUCUGGCGGAGAAGGAUGGGCUCGCGGCCUAUCAGCUUGUUGGUGUGGGUAAUGGCCCACCAAGGCGACGACGGGUAGCCGGCCUGAGAGGGUGACCGGCCACACUGGGACUGAGACACGGCCCAGACUCCUACGGGAGGCAGCAGUGGGGAAUAUUGGACAAUGGGCGAAAGCCUGAUCCAGCAACGCCGCGUGAGGGAUGACGGCCUUCGGGUUGUAAACCUCUUUCAGCAGGGACGAAGCGAGAGUGACGGUACCUGCAGAAGAAGGACCGGCCAACUACGUACCAGCAGCCGCCGUAA
rnacentral:rRNA from 1 species